rnacentral:rRNA from 1 species
AUUGAACGCUGGCGGCAUGCUUUACACAUGCAAGUCGAACGGCAGCGCGGGCUUCGGCCUGGCGGCGAGUGGCGAACGGGUGAGUAAUGCAUCGGAACGUGCCCAGUAGUGGGGGAUAGCCCGGCGAAAGCCGGAUUAAUACCGCAUACGACCUGAGGGUGAAAGCGGGGGACCGAAAGGCCUCGCGCUAUUGGAGCGGUCGAUGUCGGAUUAGCUAGUUGGUGGGGUAAAGGCUUACCAAGGAGACGAUCCGUAGCUGGUCUGAGUGGACGACCAGCCACACUGGGACUGGGACACGGCCCAGACUCCUACGGGAGGCAGCAGUGGGGAAUUUUGGACAAUGGGGGCAACCCUGAUCCAGCCAUGCCGCGUGCGGGAAGAAGGCCUUCGGGUUGUAAACCGCUUUUGUUCGGGAAGAAAUCCUCUGGGCUAAUACCCCGGGGGGAUGACGGUACCGGAAGAAUAAGCACCGGCUAACUACGUG